UACAGAGGGGGCAAGCGUUAUUCGGAAUUAUUGGGCGUAAAGGGCGCGUAGGCGGCCUGGCAAGUGGAAGGUGAAAUCCCUCGGCUUAACCGAGGAACUGCCCUCCAAACUGCUUGGCUUGAGUCCGGGAGAGGUGAGUGGAAUUCCCAGUGUAGCGGUGAAAUGCGUAGAUAUCAGGAGGAACACCGGUGGCGAAGGCGGUUCUCUGGGCAUGUCCUGACGCUGAGGAGCGAAAGUGUGGGGAGCGAACAGG
rnacentral:rRNA from 1 species